AACUCUUAAUUUUUUCAGGUCGAUCAAACUAGUUUUUCAAACAUGAUCUAUAUUUCAACGUUUUCUUUAUUUUUGCAGGUUGAUUAUGGCGACGAUGCAGAUUUUCCUAAGUGGUUACACAAAGUAAUUCAAUUUCCACUUGUAAAGGUCACCACAUCACCAUAUGUAUUCCACACGAGGCUAUACUUUUCACACAUAUGAGUAUGGUAGACAGCGAGCGACAAGCAACUAUGAAAUAUGUGUGAAAGGGAAAACAGAUUUCUACGGGAUCUUGACGGAGAUUAUUGAAGUCGAAUUCCCAGUGACAUUGACGCUGAAAUGCGUCGUCUUCAAAUGUGAAUGCUUCGACACCGUCGUCAACAGAGGUAUUCGAUUUAACAAAUUCGGUGUAGUUGAUGUCAAUGGUGGACGAAGGUACAACAAAUUCGAGACUUUCAUCUUAGCUUCACAAGCAUACCAAGUUAGCUGCCUUCCAUACCCUCGGAUGUGAGAAUCGGGAAUAAAUUGGUUAGCCGUGAUCAAAGUUACACCUUGAAAACGAAUCAUCAAUGGAGAAGAACCACCAUUGCAAGAAGAACAGAUAAAUGAAGUCGAGGAACCUGAACAAGAAAUUGAUGACAUCCUUCUCAUUGAUCCGCAUAAUCAUGAGUAUGAAGAUGUUACCGACGAUGCGACGGACAAAGCUGUUGAAGGCGAGUUUAAUGAAAAUGAUGAUGUUUCUAGUGAUGACGAGUAUGUCGAUGUAUCCGAUUGAUGUAUUUAUUUUUAAUAAGAUUGAUUUUCAGACUUAAUGCAUGUAAGGUAACAGGAGUUUAAUUUGUAUUAGAAAUAAGAGAUUGAGAUUAUAAGUGAAGGAAUUGUGGUUUCAGACUUAAUGCACGUAAGCACAAUUCGUCGUAAAGACCUCGUAAAAGGAAAACGCGGGGCUCGCUAUUUCCUCUUAACAAAGGCCUUGCUAUUUCCUCGUAAACGAACAACCCCAUCCGACCUAAGAGAAAGGUCAUUAAUUUUGUGGAUUAUGGGAAAGAACUUGGGUUCAUUGGUGCAUGCCAUUGUGGAGCAGAGUAUGAAUCGGAGUACGAAACAGAGUACUCGGAAUCGAUCGACAUCCCAACCUUUCCAUCGAUCGAUUCCAAUGUGUCAACGGUGACCGAUGACCGCAACAACACGCCACUCGACGUAAUGCACCCAGUUGACCAUUUUGCUUCACCUAAUUAUUGUUACCAACACUUUGCCUUCGAACCUCCAAGAAAGAGAGGACAUGAUGAUUAUUCAAUAGGCAGUUGGGCAGACAGUGGUUUCCAUGAAAGUUUUGCAGUUGACACUGUAAUUACUUCAUCUAAUGAGGAACAUACAGAGGAAUACGAUGAGGAUUAUUGGAAAGAACGUGCAAUAGAAAUGUCUUUGCAGGAUGAAAAACUUGAAACACAUAAGUUCA